rnacentral:rRNA from 1 species
AUUGAACGCUGGCGGCAUGCUUUACACAUGCAAGUCGAACGGCAGCGCGGGCUUCGGCCCGGCGGCGAGUGGCGAACGGGUGAGUAAUGCAUCGGAACGUGCCCAGUAGUGGGGGAUAGCCCGGCGAAAGCCGGAUUAAUACCGCAUACGACCUGAGGGUGAAAGCGGGGGACCGAAAGGCCUCGCGCUAUUGGAGCGGCCGAUGUCGGAUUAGCUAGUUGGUGGGGUAAAGGCUUACCAAGGCGACGAUCCGUAGCUGGUCUGAGAGGACGACCAGCCACACUGGGACUGAGACACGGCCCAGACUCCUACGGGAGGCAGCAGUGGGGAAUUUUGGACAAUGGGGGCAACCCUGAUCCAGCCAUGCCGCGUGCGGGAAGAAGGCCUUCGGGUUGUAAACCGCUUUUGUUCGGGAAGAAAUACUCUGGGCUAAUACCCCGGGGGGAUGACGGUACCGGAAGAAUAAGCACCGGCUAACUACGUG